ensembl:lncRNA
AAACAUGUCUUUGCCUCUAAUGAAAUUGGAGAAGCUCGUGAUCCUGCAGUGUACCUGAAGAGUUGCUGCUAGUGGAACAAACUAACAGCUUGUGCUCAAGUGGGAGCUUAGUAAAAGGCCAUUCCUAGAAGGAAUGUAAACAAAAACUUGACAGUUAGGCCUGAAGGCCAGGCUGCCUGCAGAAGAGCACUUCAUGUGUUUGAAGCUUGGAAACAUUGCUUUGAAUUCAAGAAAAGCUCACAGACCCAUAGAGGACCAGAGCUUGCCAGCAGUCACCCAGGAUCCUGGUAACCUGACGGUGUGCUCUUGGUGAGACUGGAAUAUGGGAAAUCCAUGCUGUGGGGCAUAUGUAACGUGUUGGGCAGCAGGGUGUCCUGAGGGUGCCCACCAAUCCCUAACUCGCUUGUCCCCAUGCAUAGGUCUCGUGAGAAUCUCCCACUCCCCUGACACCCACAGGGAUGACUCCGCAGAGCUCCUAGGAUGAUCGAUGAGUCCUGCACAAAUGCACUUCCACCAGCAACCCUUGGCCUCUGGCCUUCUGCAGUGGCCAGCUAACUAGGAGAACACAGAGGCUUCUGUGCUAUUUUAUUUCCUUAGCCAUUUCUCAGGAAGAGAGAUUGAUACGCAGGCCUGUGACACCGGGGAAAAGGCGGGGCUUCAGUUUUGGAGUCUCAGACGUCAGAUUUGAGAAGGGGAAGGCCAAUGCCUCCUGCAGUUGAUCAGCUGAGUCUGCAAGGCUGACCUCCUUGCCGGUCCCCUUCUUAUGACCACCUUUCAGGAAGGAACAUCCUCUUUAGGGUUUAACUCACUGCCAAAGUCACCCCCCCUUCCCUGUCUGCCAUACUUUGGAGGCCUUUCAGCCUCCAGAAAGCUGCUUACCUACUGAGACCCCCCUAAUAUGUGAGAAAGACACACCCAGGGAUUUCAUUUUAAUUUUUAUUCUUAUUUUUUCUUAAAGAUUGGCACCUGAACUAACAUCUGUUGCCAAUCUUCUUUUUUCUUUUAUUUUUUCUUCUUCUUCUCCCCAAAGUCCCCCAGUAUAUAGUUGUAUAUUCUACCUGUAGGUCCUCCUGGUUCUGCUAUGUGGGAUGCCGCCUGAGAAUGGCCUGAUGAGUGGUGCCAUGUCUGUGCCCAGGAUCUGAACCGGCGAAACCCUGGGCCGCAGAAGCGGAAGCAGAGCGUGUGAACCCAACUACUCGGCCUCUGGCCUGCUCCACAUCCGGGGAUUUUAAAGGGCUGACUGCUGAAGGGAGAGUAUAAAGCAAGGAUGUCAGCUUUCCUUCCAUUUCAAACCCAGCCCCAAAGCUAUUUAAGCCAGUGCACAUAGCGUUACUCAACAGCUCUUUGAUGAUUGAAUGAAUAAAUUUGCGGUAACAAAAGGAAGAUUGAGAUUUCAGAACACUGUGGGGUAUGUUGAACAUUGAUUCUCUGAUCUCAGAGAAAAGAAAACAGAAAGGCAAUUUUCCUCUAAUUUCAAUCAGAAUAUUUUGCAGAUGAAAGGGAUCUUAGUGAUCAUUCGGUUUCCUUGUUACUUUACAAAUAGGAAUUUAAUGACUUGCAUUUCUUCCUGUCUGAACCUUGGUUCAAUAAUGUAUACUCAAAUAUUUUCGUUUCAUUAUUUCAUUUUGGAAUUGAAUAGAAUACCUUGGAAAGAUACCUAAACUGCUCUUUCCUCAUAUUUCCCAUUCCUUGCUCAUGUUUCCUGAAUGUUUGCCUGUGGAGUGGCUCAUUAAGCUGUGAAACAGGUAGUAGAUUUGGGGCCUUUGUGCUUGAAUCCCGAGGCUUGCCAUUGGCUCAGGACUUCUCAAGUGGGCCCCUUGACAGUUAGGAAAACUGCCUGAAGUUUAGAUUUUCAAAUACUGACUAUUUUGCCAGGGCUGUUUUGAUAAAUGCAAAUUAAAAAACAACGCACAGCUGCCCCCCAUUUCUUUUUUAAAAGCUAUUACAUGCUGCUAACUAUUAAGUAAUUUAGAUAAUCUAGGAUGUUAAUAAUCAAGGCCUGUGCUCCAAAACAACACACAGCAAAUAGAUGCAGGAUUGUGGUCCAGCUCCAGCUCUUAGAAAAGUGAAGUGAGAGGCACCAAACUGGCCAUGAGGCUUUGGGUACAUCGCUCAAACUGUUGCAGCCUCACACAGCUUGAACUGUGUUCAGCACAUAGUAGCGUCUUAAUAAAUACUUGUUGAAG